CGAAACCGAUAGCGAACAAGUACCGUGAGGGAAAGUUGAAAAGUACUCUGAAUAGAGAGUUAAAUAGUACGUGAAACCGCUUAGGGGUUAAGCCCGAUGAACCCGAAUAUCUGAUGUGAGAAAUUCAAUACUGUUCCAGUUAAAUGGAGAUAGUAUGCACUUUUCUCAUAGUAAGACAUUGUAAUCCAUUGAUGCUAUAUCUCUUUCAUUUAUGGGAGAAAUGAUUUAACAUACGGACAAGAUGCAUAUGAUUAUUCUAUCAGUGAUGUGUUUACAUGUCAUAUGAAUAAGAUCGUUUUGUACCUGUUUAAAUAGUCGAUGGAUUUUAACUGAAUCAUGCUUGCAAUUUAUUUUGCGUUUCGUGUUAUCGGCCAUUUUGGUUGGUAAUAGCANAAAUGGCUUGCAUUCGAUUAAC
rnacentral:rRNA from 1 species